rnacentral:rRNA from 1 species
UACGGAGGGGGCUAGCGUUGUUCGGAAUUACUGGGCGUAAAGGGCGCGUAGGCGGCCCCAGUACGCGUGCCGUGAAAGCCCGGGGCUCAACCCCGGGUCGGCGGUGCGAACGGGGGGGCUGGAGCCGAUCAGAGGCGGGCGGAAUUCCGGGUGUAGCGGUGGAAUGCGUAGAGAUCCGGAAGAACCCCGGGGGCGAAGUCGGCCCGCUGGGAUCGAGCUGACGCUGAGGCGCGCCAGCGUGGGGAGCAAACAGG